UACGGAGGACGCGAGCGUUGUCCGGAUUUAUUGGGUUUAAAGGGUGCGUAGGCGGGUUAUCAAGUCAGCGGUAAAAUCGUGGAGCUCAACUCCAUCCAGCCGUUGAAACUGAUGAUCUUGAGUGGGCGAGAAGUAUGCGGAAUGCGUGGUGUAGCGGUGAAAUGCAUAGAUAUCACGCAGAACUCCGAUUGCGAAGGCAGCAUACCGGCGCCCGACUGACGCUGAAGCACGAAAGUGUGGGGAGCAAACAGG
rnacentral:rRNA from 1 species